UUCUUCGUGGUUCGAAAACCUCCCACGUCAGAUCGAUAGACAAGGUUUUGUCUGCUCUGAAAUCAAAACUAGGAAACG
rnacentral:ncRNA from 1 species